UACGUAGGGUGCGAGCGUUAAUCGGAAUUACUGGGCGUAAAGCGUGCGCAGGCGGUGAUGUAAGACAGAUGUGAAAUCCCCCGGGCUCAACCUGGGAACUGCAUUUGUGACUGCAUCGCUGGAGUGCGGCAGAGGGGGAUGGAAUUCCGCGUGUAGCAGUGAAAUGCGUAGAUAUGCGGAGGAACACCGAUGGCGAAGGCAAUCCCCUGGGCCUGCACUGACGCUCAUGCACGAAAGCGUGGGGAGCAAACAGG
rnacentral:rRNA from 1 species